UAGGAACAAGGUUGGGGCGAGCGACUCUCUGGUCUGUAACUGACGCUGAGGAGCGAAAGCGUGGGGAGCGAACAGGAUUAGAUACCCUGGUAGUCCACGCCGUAAACGAUGAGUGCUAAGUGUUAGGGGGUUUCCGCCCCUUAGUGCUGCAGCUAACGCAUUAAGCACUCCGCCUGGGGAGUACGGUCGCAAGACUGAAACUCAAAGGAAUUGACGGGGGCCCGCACAAGCGGUGGAGCAUGUGGUUUAAUUCGAAGCAACGCGAAGAACCUUACCAGGUCUUGACAUCCUCUGACAAUCCUAGAGAUAGGACGUCCCCUUCGGGGGCAGAGUGACAGGUGGUGCAUGGUUGUCGUCAGCUCGUGUCGUGAGAUGUUGGGUUAAGUCCCGCAACGAGCGCAACCCUUGAUCUUAGUUGCCAGCAUUCAGUUGGGCACUCUAAGGUGACUGCCGGUGACAAACCGGAGGAAGGUGGGGAUGACGUCAAAUCAUCAUGCCCCUUAUGACCUGGGCUACACACGUGCUACAAUGGACAGAACAAAGGGCAGCGAAACCGCGAGGUUAAGCCAAUCCCACAAAUCUGUUCUCAGUUCGGAUCGCAGUCUGCAACUCGACUGCGUGAAGCUGGAAUCGCUAGAAAUCGCAGAUCAACAUGCCCGCGGUGAAUACGUUCCCAUGCCCU
rnacentral:rRNA from 1 species